rnacentral:tRNA from 1 species
AGUAGACUGGCGCAGUGGAAGCGUGCUGGUCACAUAAAUCAGAGGUCCGUGGAUCGAAACGACGCUCUGCUA